AGGGAAUCUUGCGCAAUGGGCGAAAGCCUGACGCAGCGACGCCGCGUGAGGGAAGAAGGCCUUCGGGUUGUAAACCUCUUUCAGGAGGGACGAAGCCACUCGGGUUAAUAGCCUAGAGGGUGACGGUACCUCCAGAAGAAGCCCCGGCUAACUACGUGCCAGCAGCCGCGGUAAUACGUAGGGGGCAAGCGUUGCCCGGAUUUAUUGGGCGUAAAGAGCGUGUAGGCGGCCAUUCAGGUCAGCUGUGAAAACUCGAGGCUCAACCUCGAGACGUCGGUUGAAACCGUUUGGCUAGAGUCCGGAAGAGGAGAGUGGAAUUCCCGGUGUAGCGGUGAAAUGCGCAGAUAUCGGGAGGAACACCCGUGGCGAAGGCGGCUCUCUGGGACGGUACUGACGCUGAGACGCGAAAGCGUGGGGAGCAAAC
rnacentral:rRNA from 1 species